rnacentral:hammerhead_ribozyme from 1 species
AUCCAGUUGACGAGCCCCAAAUAGGACGAAACACGCGUCCUGGAU